GACGUAGGGCGCGAGCGUUGUCCGGAUUUAUUGGGCGUAAAGAGCUCGUAGGCGGCUUGUCGCGUCGACUGUGAAAACUUGGGGCUCAACCCCAAGCUUGCAGUCGAUACGGGCAGGCUAGAGUUCGGUAGGGGAGACUGGAAUUCCUGGUGUAGCGGUGAAAUGCGCAGAUAUCCGGAAGAAUACCGGAGGCGAAGGCGGCUGCUGGACCUGGUCUGACGCUGAGGCGCGAAAGCCAGGGAGCAAACGGGAUAGAG
rnacentral:rRNA from 1 species